rnacentral:ncRNA from 2 species
AGUAUUACAUGGCCAAUCUC